rnacentral:rRNA from 1 species
GACGAACGCUGGCGGCGUGCUUAACACAUGCAAGUCGAACGGAAAGGCCCUGCUUUUGUGGGGUGCUCGAGUGGCGAACGGGUGAGUAACACGUGAGUAACCUGCCCUUGACUUUGGGAUAACUUCAGGAAACUGGGGCUAAUACCGGAUAGGAGCUCCUGCUGCAUGUUGGGGGUUGGAAAGUUUCGGCGGUUGGGGAUGGACUCGCGGCUUAUCAGCUUGUGGGUGGGGUAGUGGCUUACCAAGGCUUUGACGGGUAGCCGGCCUGAGAGGGUGACCGGCCACAUUGGGACUGAGAUACGGCCCAGACUCCUACGGGAGGCAGCAGUGGGGAAUAUUGCACAAUGGGCGGAAGCCUGAUGCAGCAACGCCGCGUGCGGGAUGACGGCCUUCGGGUUGUAAACCGCUUUCGCCUGUGACGAAGCGUGAGUGACGGUAAUGGGUAAAGAAGCACCGGCUAACUACGUG